UACAACUUUCAGCAACGGAUCUCUUGGCUCUCCCAUCGAUGAAGAACGCAGCGAAAUGCGAUAAGUAAUGUGAAUUGCAGAAUUCAGUGAAUCAUCGAAUCUUUGAACGCACCUUGCGCCCUUUGGUAUUCCGAAGGGCAUGCCUGUUUGAGUGUCAUU
rnacentral:rRNA from 1 species